GAGUCAAUUACACGGCUCAUUCUGGACCAAAGAAAUCAUGUGAUGGCACCAAACAGAUAUUCUACUGUCGAAGAUCAGGUGUUCAGUCAACGAAGAUUUCCAGUAAGAGUCGUGCAGAAAAGAGCCAAGGUACCUGUAAGAUGGGGUUUUACUGCACCUCAUCAAUUGAAGUUGUGAAGAAGGAUGAAAAGAUUUGUGUGACCUUUUACUCUGACCAUCGUGAUCACAACCUUGAUUUUAACAGCCAGGUUCACAUGACACUUCCCAAGAGUGAACAGGAUAAGAUUGCAGCUUGUGAUGAAAUCAUCAUAUCUGCAAAGCGUAUGAUUACACAAGGGAUCGAACAUGACAUAAUUUUGGACAGAGUGCGGGAGUCAGCAGGCAGUAAUCGAAUGUCUUUCUUAGAAAAGAAGGAUAUAGAUAAUAUUUGUGUUAGGUAUGGAUUGAAUAAAACCCACAGCAGACACUCUGAUGACAGCACAAGUGUACGAUUAAUUGUUAAAGAAAUGCAGGAUGCCAAUGAAGUCUUGUAUUUCAAAGAUCAAGGAGAUGUAGAUUCAGAUAAUCCUGAAAUACCAUCCAAAGAAUUUGUAUUAGGUUUUAUGAAAGGGGGACAAGAAUUAAUAUUUUCUACCCAGAUGAAAUCUUGUGACAAGAUACAGGUAUGCAUGGAUUCAACUCAUUGCAUUAGCCAAUAUUCAGGAUUCCAGAAAUAGCCAAACCUAAGGUGUCAACAGAAGAAAUUAAUAUGAUUCAUGAUGUAAGUAAUGAGGAAACCUAUGAUAGACAAGUUGUGAAAUACCAGGAACAAUUGAAAAACAAAAUUAUGUUACAGCUUCUCCCAAAAUGUAGUGAAAGUAAGGACCUUCAAGUUUUGAAAACUGCUAAUAGCUUGUUGUGUAAGUUAAUUGCAACAUUAGAUGCUGGCACGAGUUAUCCACCAAACAACAGUAACUGGCCUGUGGAUGUGACAACUGUUUCAGAGCCAGGUAAUAAAAAGUGUGUUAAGCAAGACCGGUUGUAUUCGACAAGGAAGAGAAAACGAGAAAAUAUAGGUAUGUGCUUAAAAAAGCCUAGUUCAAAAGCAAGAUUAAUAAUUGGGGAGAGUCUUGCAAAGUCUGAGUCUGAUGUAAGUGUUCCAGUACUAUCAGAAGUUAGAAUAGACGAUGAACAUAGUUAUUGAGGUAUUAAGGUCUAAGGUGUGAUCGAAAAAUGUGUCAAGUUAAAGGUGUACCUAUCUCAUGUCUUUCUACCAUAGUCCACAAAUUUUUCAGUAACCCUUUGUAUUAAAAGCAAUGCUAGUGUAUCAAGGUAAAAAAAAAGUAGAAGCUUUUGUCUUAUGUAUUGAAUCCUAUGUCCACUGAGUGGUCUGUUUACUUUAAUGUUUGAGGAUUAUUAUAUUAACCAAAGCUGGGUAUACUUGUAUGUAGUAUGUAAUUCUGAUAUGUGUCUGAUAUGUGGUUUUUGGCACUGGC